UUGAAAAGUCCCACAUACAUAUGCAAUAUAUGUGGAUUUGUGUGUGUUACUUCUCAAACAUAAUUGGUAUCCAAAAUUUUGAUUUGGCAUUUUGUUUUUCACUUAGUAUAUUUUUAGCACAUUUUCUUAUGUUUGCCAAAUUUGAAAUUAUGUUAAACCUACUCAUUUGAAACAUUCCAAGACACUAUGAAGAGGAAUAUACUUUUUGCUUUUAUUUGUAGACCUUUUGAAAAUAGGAAAGAAUUAAAAAAAGAACUAUGGCAUUACAGAGAGAAAAAACUUUACCAAACACAAGAUGAAUGAAAUAGUUAUAUAGAUCUACAGAUACCUUACAUAAACAAAGGAGGAAUAACAACAAGCAAGGGAGGAGCCGUUUCAAAGACAAACACCGCCUACUACUACUACUACACUCACGUGGACUGGCUGAGGUCAAAUUUAAAACCAUGAAAUUUUCCCAUCUCUGAAGAGCACUACUGCUGACCAUUUCUGCAGGCGCAAAAUCAUCACCAAGAAGAACAAACGUGCUUUGUAAGACAAUUUAUUGCGACCUCUUAUGGUGGAAGUGAUGCGACCUCUUGUGAUGACAAUGACAAAAUUGGAAAGUAGGGUGCAAGAUCAGCAGAAGUCACUAGAGAUAAUGAUAUGGGUACCAUCGAACAUUUGAAACAAACUCAGGCUGCUGCACCCACUGGACCUGAUUUAUCCCUGCUGGACGGAUUGCUACCAAUACAAAGAUAUGUAGACUUUGAGGACUUUGAACAACAGAUAAAUGGGGAAAGUCCCCUUAGAAAGUCACUGGUACAUAGACUCUAGAUUCUUGGGGGAGCAACCGUCAGCAGUCAAAACCAUGAUUGACUUCUGCAUGACAAGUGG